CAGCCGCCGCGGGAAUACGUAGGUCCCGAGCGUUGUCCGGAUUUAUUGGGCGUAAAGCGAGCGCAGGCGGUUAGAUAAGUCUGAAGUUAAAGGCUGUGGCUUAACCAUAGUACGCUUUGGAAACUGUUUAACUUGAGUGCAAGAGGGGAGAGUGGAAUUCCAUGUGUAGCGGUGAAAUGCGUAGAUAUAUGGAGGAACACCGGUGGCGAAAGCGGCUCUCUGGCUUGUAACUGACGCUGAGGCUCGAAAGCGUGGGGAGCAAACAGGAUUAGAUACCCCCGUAGUCCCUGUCUCUUAUACA
rnacentral:rRNA from 1 species